UCAGUCGUCUCCUACCUCUGCGAGUAGGCAGAGGCGAAGGAAAACAUGGCGAGCACGACCACACACCAUGCCUCGUGCCUGCUUGCCUCCCUCGAGCGACCACGACGGGGAUAAGCUUGGAGUCGUCCGGAACGGUCUCUCCCCUUUCCCCUCGUUAUACCCCUCCCUACUUCUCUGUUUCCCCUCGCCAUGGCCGAGCCCUGCUCAAGCUCACCGCCAUCGUAAUCGUAGCCAUCACGCUCUCCUCACCCCUACGAGCCGACCACGAGCUUUGUCUCGUCUACCUCAAGCUCUCCAGCAAGGAACGCGAGGCCUCACGCGUAGGACACCGUCUCCAACCCGUCUUCAACCACCGGCAAGCGGUCCUCUUCGAAGUUGAUUCACGGCCAUCCGCGCAUCCCCGAAGGAGACAUUAGUUUUAUUAUUGGUUCUACACGAUGUGUUUAAUGUUGACCAGAAUAGCUUGGGAAUCCCAAACAGAGUUGUGGCUCCUUUGGUAGCGUCGUUGUAGCUUUUUAGGCUCUUCCAACCAUUUUUAGUAGAUGUCUGUACCUAAACAUGUAACUUUCGCUUGUUGAGUGUAUUCUCUGAAUGUUAGGUCAUGUGACCCCCUGCUUGUAACAUUAUACCAUUUUAGCACUUUGGAGCCUUCUAAAUAAAUGUUGUUAUGUUG